UGGUCAAGAUUCCUGACCAAAAGUCCUCUGAAACCUGUGCAAUUAUGAAAUCAAACAAAGAGAGAAAUUAUUGGAGAGUUUUGAGAUGGUGAGACAACUUUGUGUCAUCUUUAUUUUAUCUCUAUUUGAACUUCCCCAGACCAAUCAUCAGAAUGUGCUGCAGGUUGUAUCGCUGGAAUUGUAAUCGCAUGUUUUGCCAUCGUUGCUGUUGCUUGUGGUGUAGGAUACUACUUUUAUAGAAGAAGAACCAACAAAAAUCCACAGACACAUAAUACAGGAGAACAUGUGUAUGAGAACAGUUCCCCAUGUGACAAGACAAGUUGAACUGUAUUUCUAUGUUAAGAUGAAACAUUUGUGAAGUCUCUAUCUGCUCCAGGAAGACAAAAGUUAUUGUUUUUGUUAGUUUGUUGGUUAUAAUAUUUUUGGGAGGUCAUUAUGAAAAUAUUUUAACAGGACAUAUGAAGAUUGUUUAUAAAUUAUUAGCCUACAACAAUAAAUAUGAAGGUUUUCUCUAAGUUUGAAUUUUUUAAGUUGCUACUAUUUUGAUAUAGGUUCUCUGUCUGUAGCCCCUUAUUGAUCAUUAAAUGUAAAAUAAAUACAACCAAUAC